GACGAACGCUGGCGGCGUGCUUAACACAUGCUAGUCGAACGGAAAGGCCCUUCUUUUGUGGGGUGCUCGAGUGGCGAACGGGUGAGUAACACGUGAGUAACCUGCCCUUGACUUUGGGAUAACUUCAGGAAACUGGAGCUAAUACCGGAUAGGAGCUCCUGCUGCAUGGUGGGGGUUGGAAAGUUUCGGCGGUUGGGGAUGGACUCGCGGCUUAUCAGCUUGUUGGUGGGGUAGUGGCUUACCAAGGCUUUGACGGGUAGCCGGCCUGAGAGGGUGACCGGCCACAUUGGGACUGAGAUACGGCCCAGACUCCUACGGGAGGCAGCAGUGGGGAAUAUUGCACAAUGGGCGGAAGCCUGAUGCAGCAACGCCGCGUGCGGGAUGACGGCCUUCGGGUUGUAAACCGCUUUCGCCUGUGACGAAGCGUGAGUGACGGUAAUGGGUAAAGAAGCACCGGCUAACUACGUG
rnacentral:rRNA from 1 species